GACCGCGUAGCUCAGUUGGAAGAGCAGUAUGGACUAGUAUUCCAAAGGUCGUAGGUUCGAAUCCCACCGUGGCCG